GACGGAGGAGGCAAGCGUUAUCCGGAAUUAUUGGGCGUAAAGCGUCCGCAGGUGGCAAUGUAAGUCUGCUGUCAAAGCGUCUGGCUCAACCAGAUAAAGGCAGUGGAAACUACAUAGCUAGAGUAAGGUAGGGGUAGAGGGAAUUCCUGGUGUAGCGGUGAAAUGCGUAGAUAUCAAGAGGAACACCUGCGGCGAAGGCGGGUUGCUGGGCCGACACUGACGCUGAGGCGCGAAAGCUAGGGGAGCGAACGGG
rnacentral:rRNA from 1 species